rnacentral:lncRNA from 1 species
UCUGUCCUUCAACAUAACCAAUGUAGAUCUCUGAGAUUAACCAAUGUAGAUCUUUGUCCCCCUUUUUACUCCCAUGUAGUAUUCCAUUAUAAAUAAACGUACCCUUUAUUCAAUAAUCUAUCCUUUUCUAGUUAGACAAGAGAGAGGAUUGUUUCUAGGUUGUAGCUCUUACUAGUAAGGCUGCCGUGAAUAUCCUUGUACAAGGCUUUUGUGGACAUAUAUUUUUGUUUCUCUGAGAUGCAUACCUAGAAACAUCAUGCAACUUUACAAGAAUCUAAUUUAAGCAUGGACCCUAAGAGUGAUUUCCUCAAGUGUCAUGGCUAUUUUAAUAUUCAACCUAGAGGAAUUCCAAUAUUAUUUUCUAAGAAUCUGCACCCCAUAGUGAAGAUGGCCUCUUCUGCCAAAGGAGGACCUAUGUUGCCAAAGAACAUCAGUAUAAUCUUCAUCAAGUUGCCGCUUUCCUUCCUCUGAGCUCUCUCUAUGUGACUGAAAACAAUAAGAAAAUGCCUAGAAGUCAGGCCUAGAACAUUAAAUGGUAAUAGACUCCAAACAACAGCAGAAGUCCAAGAUUGGGCAACUGAUAUUCAGUCCCAUGCACUACUUGAGCCAGUCUUGACUGAAACAGGAAUCACAUCAAAAGAUGAGGCAACACAAUCAGGGCCUUCCGUGUGUCUCUUCUCUGUCAUCAAAUCUUUCUCUCCACUGAAAUUGGGACUCACCAUUAUCCAGUAUGACCUCAUCUUAACUUCA